rnacentral:misc_RNA from 1 species
GCAGGGAAAGCAGCCCUGGGAAUACACGUUAUGGCAAGCUUGCAAAAUAUACCAGAUCCAACUUUAACAUGAGACCAAGCUGAUGCAUUGAACAGAAAUACAAUAAUGAUGUCCUAAAAAGGCUCCACCAUAUUAUAUAAGCAAAUGUACAAUUGGCAAGCAAAGUUGUGUCAAACUCAAGACAGUUUUACUGGUGGAAAACAUUCAUGCAUUAAUUUUCUUUUAUGUCAAGCAUAUAAGAAAAUGAAAAUGGAGUUCUGAAAGUAGGAUGUGCACAUGAUAAAUAAAAAAUUUUAG